UCACCCUACUGUAUAUUUCGGUAUAUGUUUAUUUCCAUGCAUGUCAUGAGUCCACUGCCUAAUAAUCAUUAUGAACUCUUACAUAUCCUGCUGCUGUAUGCCUGAUAUUUGAUGUUCCUUAUAGUGAGCAUGCCUACAAUUAAAUAUGACAUGCAGUACGGGUGAUUCACUGCGGAACGCAUAUGGUCACCGCAAUCCUCACAAUGCUAUAUUUAGUCAUAGUUUCCCAUUCAUUUCUUCUCCAUCAACUCAAAUAUGUAUGGCCACAUUUGUGUCUCUCCGCAGGCGCUAUCUGACGACUGGGACUCAAUGAGAGGAUCUCACAGAUUUGAUGAGAGAAAAUUGGUGAGAGCUGAGAGAGUGCCACUCGGAUCUCCGCAGUCGCAGCUUAGCAAUGUGUCUGUCAAAGUGAAGGCAGCCUUUAAAUACGCACCACAAAUCCAUUAGUGUGACACGCACGCUCACACACACGUGCGUUGAUGAUGUCAGUGAUGCAGGGGAGGAGGCGAGGAUGAUGACAUGAGCUUGUGGGAUCCGAAAAACGUCUUUAAGGCAAAAGUGAAAUGAAGAAAAUGCAUUCCUGGGACAAAAUGGAAACGUGUUACUGCGGAUUUUUUGUUAUUGUUGUUUUUUUUUUUAAGUGCACUGUACCUAAGCUUGUUUGACAGUUCAUUUGAGACAUAAUAAACCUACGCAAUGUAAACAACACCCCAUUCCAUCAGGUAGACCACAGGGUUAGGGUAUUAUUUUCUGCAUGUGUAUUUAAAAAAAAAAAAAUCAUCAAUUUACAUUCUGUAUUGAUGUACAACAAUCCCUUGGUAAUAAUGAAAAGAAGAAACUCUUUAUUGCAGUGCGCUAUUGUAUUGUAGAGCAUCAUUUGAAGGUAGGCAGAGCUAAUAAAUGAGCAAGUGAG